GCGUUUCAAAAGUUAUUAUCCGUGGUUACCAUACCAAUAAAUUAUGUGAGACUGUACUUCUUUACCUUGUCUCCCUUUGUAACCGGCAUCGUGUAACUAUUCAGGACCUAGAAAAACACAUGUGCGUAGUCUUGCAUAUGUAUCUUAAACACUUGAGAUCAGACUAGAGCAAUGAACAUCGUAAGGAAGAUUCUAGCAUUGGUUUGCCUUAUCAACACCAGAUAUCAACAUGUGAGAGGGACGUCUUCUUAAUCGUUCGAUUGGCUAGAGGACGUGGAUGGCACUGACCGGUCGUCCGGACCAUCACUGUUGACCACUACGGAGUUAUCUAUGGUUACCUGUCUCACGAGCUGCUCGAACACGUCUUAAUGUAAGGCAGCUUCAUAUAACAGUGGAACCGGAGAAUGUAACUGUCUUGAUAGGAAGACGAGUACUACGACACAACCUCUGGAGACGCCAGUUUGGUGGUUUCAUGUAUAAUGCACCACUGGAAUGGCAUAACGGGCUGUUCAAAAACAUACAGAAACCACAGGCUGAGGCGGAGUCGUUCUGUGGUAGAGACUGGCCGUCCUAGAUACGGAUGAGAAGCUGAAUUACGUCACAGGACUGUCUGACUACCAAGCUGACGGAGUCUACUAUGUAGGCGCCAUAGAUGAGGAAACUGAAAAUGUGUUUCUAUGGAGUAGCGGCGCUAACCUAACAACCAAUUGGGGGCCAAAUGAACCAAUCGGUACCCGUGAUGAAAACUGCGUCGCUCUGUAUCACGCUACUUUCGCUGACAUCCCUUGUACACAGACAAAUUAGGUUUUGCAUGCGAAAUUGUAUAGAAUGUGUACUCUGUGAACUCCUGUCUGACAUGUACGUAUACAUUUACAGACUAUACGUGUGCCCGUCGUGUAACUUUUAAUAUUAAUAAGGAUUAAUUACCAACACCAGCAAAAAUAUAGUGCAAUUCUACGGAAAACUGUAGGAUAGCCAGAAAUUCUAGAUGAUUUUAAAAAUCCGGUCGUGUGUAAGCAGACCAGUUUGACGCUUUGAUGAACAACAAAAAAAAUCGCGUGGCACCGUAACGGUAAAAUUUCCCAGCAACGAAGUUUGGUGUCUCUCCUCUGUACUCUUCAAAGGAAAGGUAUCAGACUAGCGCUCGCUCAGUAUCUGAAAACAGUUAAACGAUCAAUUAUGUGCCUUUGAUUUUGGCAUAGCAUAUUCCAGGGUUGCAGAGAUCUUGAGUACUUGAGUAUAAGUGUAACUGUUAGAAUUUCGAGGACUAUGAUACAUAACAUUACUGGCAUCAAUAGCAACAUUCAUAGACAACCCAACAGUGUCUUAAAUAAUGGGAGAGGAAAAUGAUGAAAAUUGCUAUGUCGAUUGUUAACAAUUGCACCCAUAGUGAGUUGGCGAUACCGCCCUAGACGCAUUUGUUACAUUGUAUUUUAUUUACGGUUCAAUUGUUUAUAUCUACUGCCUUGCGUUGUAAUUUAGAAAACCAUACCUGAGUGAUCUGUCAGUAAAAUGUCUUUUGCAGUAUGAUAUUAAUUAAUGUUUUCAAAGUGUUUCGCCUUUGACAAUGAUAAUACCUCUGAUGCUAUUCUGCAAUAAUUACAAAGCUGAGUUGUAUCAAAACUCUUAAGAUUUAAAAGGGUGUAAUAUUUCCGUUUAUCAAUUAAACAAAACUAUCAAAAGGGGCGUGGAUCGCUUUACUUAUUGGUAAAAAAAUCAUUAUAUGAGAUACCCACAACCAUUUUUCACAUAAAUAAAUCAAUGCACGCCCCUCUGGUUGAUA